rnacentral:rRNA from 1 species
GUCCAUGGGCCUACCAUGUGAACACGCCUGAUCUCAUCUGAUUCUCAGAAGUUAACGCAGGGUCAGGCCUGGCUAAGUACUGGAUGAGAAGCAACAGGGAACUACCACGUGCUGUAAGCU